GUUCUCCAUGGCAGGAUGAUCCUUGGCACAUUGGCCAUUCUUAACGCCAGGAAUUAGACUGACUUCCAGCAGGUGCUUGAACAGCUGCUGGCGCUAGCUCAGGAUCCUUCAUGUGAAGGAAUUCAGGUGGAGCUGACACAGACUGGGAUUCAGCACUUCUUGGACGUCUUCUGUGAAAUGGUGGUGCUGGGGGUUAUAGGUGGAGCCAGACCUUAGAUCUGUCCAGUAAGACAUCUUCC